GUGCUUCAGCAGCACAUACGCUAAAAUUGGAAUGAUACGGAGAAGAUCAGCAUGACUCCUGCGCAAGGAUGACACACAAAUUUCUGAAGCCUUCUGUAUUUUU